AAUAGAUACCCGGGUAGUCCACGCCGUAAACGAUGAGUGCUAAGUGUUAGAGGGGUUUCCGCCCUUUAGUGCUGCAGCUAACGCAUUAAGCACUCCGCCUGGGGAGUACGGUCGCAAGACUGAAACUCAAAGGAAUUGACGGGGGCCCGCACAAGCGGUGGAGCAUGUGGUUUAAUUCGAAGCAACGCGAAGAACCUUACCAGGUCUUGACAUCCUCUGACAACUCUAGAGAUAGAGCGUUCCCCUUCGGGGGACAGAGUGACAGGUGAUGCAUGGUUGUCGUCAGCUCGUGUCGUGAGAUGUUGGGUUAAGUCCCGCAACGAGCGCAACCCUUGAUCUUAGUUGCCAGCAUUUAGUUGGGCACUCUAAGGUGACUGCCGGUGACAAACCGGAGGAAGGUGGGGAUGACGUCAAAUCAUCAUGCCCCUUAUGACCUGGGCUACACACGUGCUACAAUGGAUGGUACAAAGGGCUGCAAGACCGCGAGGUCAAGCCAAUCCCAUAAAACCAUUCUCAGUUCGGAUUGU
rnacentral:rRNA from 1 species